CUACGGGAGGCAGCAGUGAGGAAUAUUGCACAAUGGGGGGAACCCUGAUGCAGCAACGCCACGUGGAGGAUGACGCAUUUCGGUGUGUAAACUCUUUUUAUAUGUCAAGAAAAUGACGGUAGCAUAUGAAUAAGCACCGGCUAACUCCGUGCCAGCAGCCGCGGUAAUACGGAGGGUGCAAGCGUUACUCGGAAUCACUGGGCGUAAAGGACGCGUAGGCGGGUUGGAAAGUCAGGUGUGAAAUCCUACAGCUUAACUGUAGAACUGCACUUGAAACUUCUAAUCUAGAGUAUGGGAGGGGGAGAUGGAAUUAGUGGUGUAGGGGUAAAAUCCGUAGAUAUCACUAGGAAUACCUAAAGCGAAGGCGAUCUCCUGGAACAUUACUGACGCUAAGGCGUGAAAGCGUGGGGAGCAAACAGGAUUAGAUACCCUAGUAGUC
rnacentral:rRNA from 1 species